AUAGGGGAGCCGAAGGGAAACCGAGUCUUAACUGGGCGUUAAGUUGCAGGGUAUAGACCCGAAACCCGGUGAUCUAGCCAUGGGCAGGUUGAAGGUUGGGUAACACUAACUGGAGGACCGAACCGACUAAUGUUGAAAAAUUAGCGGAUGACUUGUGGCUGGGGGUGAAAGGCCAAUCAAACCGGGAGAUAGCUGGUUCUCCCCGAAAGCUAUUUAGGUAGCGCCUCGUGAAUUCAUCUCCGGGGGUAGAGCACUGUUUCGGCAAGGGGGUCAUCCCGACUUACCAACCCGAUGCAAACUGCGAAUACCGGAGAAUGUUAUCACGGGAGACACACGGCGGGUGCUAACGUCCGUCGUGAAGAGGGAAACAACCCAGACCGCCAGCUAAGGUCCCAAAGUCAUGGUUAAGUGGGAAACGAUGUGGGAAGGCCCAGACAGCCAGGAUGUUGGCUUAGAAGCAGCCAUCAUUUAAAGAAAGCGUAAUAGCUCACUGGUCGAGUCGGCCUGCGCGGAAGAUGUAACGGGGCUAAACCAUGCACCGAAGCUGCGGCAGCGACACUGUGUGUUGUUGGGUAGGGGAGCGU
rnacentral:rRNA from 1 species